rnacentral:rRNA from 1 species
AUGUUCAGUGUAUAUAUAAAAUUGAAGAGUAAAGUGAAGGGUAAAUUCUUGUGUUGUUACAAUAUUCAGAGACAAAAAGAAUCAGCAGAAACAUUGUUUUGGCACAACUUGCUACAGAAUGGAAUAAAUUUUCUCACAGAAAAAACUAGUUUCACAAGUGGGCAGAUAUUUGUUGGCUCUCUUUGCAUUUGUAAUUCUAUCCACUUGUACAUCUGUUCAUCCAUGUCUCUGUGCACCUGUAACAAUUUAAUUUAUGUUAAUUGUUGGAAAAGAACAUUAUCAAGUGCGAAGAAAAAAAAGAUUACUCGUAAUAUCAGCAAAAGUAGGCUUAUGCACCACUAUUGUAUUUCCAAGGAAAAUAUGUUCCUCGUGAGAUUAAUUUGA